AGCUUUGCGCAGUGGCGAUAUCGUAACCAAUGAGGUUUAUCCGAGGUGCGAUUAUUGCUAGUUGAAAACUUUAACCAAUACCCCGCCGUGUGGACAUGAAACACUGUCCGCUCAGGCAAUUUUUAAAGGCCCUAACGGGC